rnacentral:rRNA from 1 species
UACGUAGGGAGCAAGCGUUGUCCGGAAUCAUUGGGCGUAAAGCGCGCGUAGGUGGCUUCGUAAGUCCGUUGUGAAAGUCAAAGGCUCAACCUUUGAAAGCCGAUGGAUACUGUGAAGCUAGAGUACGGAAGAGGCGAGUGGAAUUCCUGGUGUAGCGGUGGAAUGCGCAGAUAUCAGGAGGAACACCAAUAGCGAAGGCAGCUCGCUGGGACGUUACUGACACUGAGGCGCGAACGCGUGGGGAGCAAACAGG